CAGCCCUCCCGCCGCCCGCUCGCAGGUCCCGAGGAGCGCAGACUGUGUCCCUGACAAUGGGAACAGCCGACAGUGAUGAGAUGGCCCCAGAGGCCCCACAGCACACCCACAUCGAUGUGCACAUCCACCAGGAGUCUGCCCUGGCCAAGCUCCUGCUCACCUGCUGCUCUGUGCUGCGGCCCCGGGCCACCCAGGCCAGGGGCAGCAGCCGGCUGCUGGUGGCCUCGUGGGUGAGUGUGACGGCCUGCCUCGUGGGGCGGCGGGAGGGACUCCCCACCUCCAGCCGCAGCAGCACUCUCUGCCAGCCUCCCUCUGAACAGGACACCGAGCCAGUUAUGUCUUCUUACUUAGCGAUGUGAUUCUCUGGCCUUCUCAGUAAGAGCCUGGGGAGGGGAGGCUCUGGGCUGAAGGGGUGUGGAGGAGCCAUUGACCAUGCAGAGUCCCAAUCAGUGGAGCCCUGAGUCCAUCCUUUCCUCUGGGCCAAACUCAGGAUGGGCCGGCUCUCCUCUCCUUCCUUUCCCUUCUCUUUUCUCCUCCUCCUGCCUCUUCUUCUUUCUCCUUCUCCUCCUCUUUCUUCUCCUUUUCUCUUCUCUUCUCUUCUCUUCUUUCUGUCUCUCUCUCUCUACCUCUCCCUCUCUUUUGGGGGUUUUAGCGGUUAAUCCCUGCAGUGGCAGGUCCACCUAGAAGCCGGGAUCUUGGGUCCUUUGUCUUUCAGGUGAUGCAGAUCGUGCUGGGGAUCUUGAGUGCAGUCCUGGGAGGAUUUUUCUACAUCCGCGACUACACCCUCCUGGUCACCUCGGGAGCUGCCAUCUGGACAGGGGCUGUGGCUGUGCUGGCUGGAGCUGCUGCCUUCAUUUACGAGAAACGGGGUGGUACAUACUGGGCCCUGCUGAGGACUCUGCUAGCGCUGGCAGCUUUCUCCACAGCCAUCGCUGCCCUCAAACUUUGGAAUGAAGAUUUCCGAUAUGGCUACUCUUAUUACAACAGUGCCUGCCACAUCUCCAGCUCGAGCGACUGGAACACCCCAGCCCCCACUCAGAGUCCAGAAGAAGUCAGAAGGCUACACCUAUGUACCUCCUUCAUGGACAUGCUGAAGGCCUUGUUCAGAACCCUUCAGGCCAUGCUCUUGGGUGUCUGGAUUCUGCUGCUUCUGGCAUCUCUGGCCCCUCUGUGGCUGUACUGCUGGAGAAUAUUCCCAACCAAAGGGAAAAGAGACCAGAAGGAAAUGUUGGAAGUGAGUGGAAUCUAGCCAUGCCUCUCCUGAUUAUUAGUGCCUGGUGCUUCUGCACCGGCGUCCCUGAAUCUGACUGCUGGAAGAAGAACCAGACUGAGGAAAAGAGGCUCUUCAACAGCCCCAGUUAUCCUGCCCCCAUGACCAUGGCCACAGCCCUGCUCCAGCAGCACUUGCCCAUUCCUUACACCCCUUCCCCAUCCUGCUCCGCUUCAUGUCCCCUCCUGAGUAGUCAUGUGAUAAUAAACUCUCAUGUUAUUGUUCCCA
rnacentral:sRNA from 1 species